rnacentral:rRNA from 1 species
UACGUAGGGGGCAAGCGUUGUCCGGAUUUAUUGGACGUAAAGAGCGUGUAGGCGGCCGUACAGGUCAGCUGUGAAAACUCGAGGCUCAACCUCGAGACGUCGGUUGAAACCGUACGGCUAGAGUCCGGAAGAGGAGAGUGGAAUUCCCGGUGUAGCGGUGAAAUGCGCAGAUAUCGGGAAGAACACCCGUGGCGAAGGCGGCUCUCUGGGACGGUACUGACGCUGAGACGCGAAAGCGUGGGGAGCGAACAGG